CCUACGGGAGGCAGCAGUGAGGAAUAUUGGUCAAUGGCCGUAAGGCUGAACCAGCCAAGUCGCGUGAAGGAAGAAGGAGCUAUGGUUUGUAAACUUCUUUUAUAGGGGAAUAAAGGUAUCCACGUGUGGAUAUUUGCAUGUACCCUAUGAAUAAGCAUCGGCUAACUCCGUGCCAGCAGCCGCGGUAAUACGGAGGAUGCGAGCGUUAUCCGGAUUUAUUGGGUUUAAAGGGUGCGUAGGUUGUUUUUUAAGUCAGCGGGGAAAGUUUGUGGCUCAACCAUAACAUUGCCGUUGAAACUGGAAGACUUGAGUGUGUUUGAGGUAGGCGGAAUGCGUGGUGUAGCGGUGAAAUGCAUAGAUAUCACGCAGAACUCCGAUUGCGAAGGCAGCUUACUAAGCCAUAACUGACACUGAAGCACGAAAGCGUGGGGAUCAAACAGGAUUAGAUACCCGAGUAGUC
rnacentral:rRNA from 1 species